rnacentral:rRNA from 1 species
UACGUAGGGUGCGAGCGUUGUCCGGAAUUACUGGGCGUAAAGAGCUCGUCGGUGGUUUGUCGCGUUGUUCGUGAAAACUCACAACUCAAUUGUGGGCGUGCGGGCGAUACGGGCAGACUGGAGUACUGCAGGGGAGACUGGAAUUCCUGGUGUAGCGGUGGAAUGCGCAGAUAUCAGGAGGAACACCGGUGGCGAAGGCGGGUCUCUGGGCAGUAACUGACGCUGAGGAGCGAAAGCGUGGGGAGCGAACAGG